rnacentral:tRNA from 1 species
AAAGAAUUAGUUAAAUUAUAAUUUGAAUUUGUCAAGUUCAUGUUACCCUGUGAGGGUAUUCUUUU